rnacentral:rRNA from 1 species
CAGCAGCCACGGUAAUACGUAGGUGGCGAGCGUUGUCCGGAAUUAUUGGGCGUAAAGGGAGCGCAGGCGGACAUAUAAGUCCAUCUUAAAAGUGCGGGGCUCAACCCCGUGAGGGGAUGGAAACUGUAUGCCUUGAGUGCAGGAGAGGAAAGCGGAAUUCCCAGUGCAGCGGUGAAAUGCGUAGAUAUUGGGAGGAACACCAGUGGCGAAGGCGGCUUUCUGGACUGUAACUGACGCUGAGGCUCGAAAGCCAGGGGAGCGAACGGGAUUAGAUACCCCCGUAGUCCCUGUCUCUUAUACA